rnacentral:tRNA from 2 species
GGGUGGUUAGCUCAGUUGGUAGAGCGCAUCAUUGACGUUGAUGAGGCCAGAGGUUCAAGUCCUCUACCGCCCA